rnacentral:lncRNA from 1 species
CCCCUUUGGUACAUUAGUGUAGUUAACCUUCGCUCUGGCCGAGACCAAGAAGGGUUAAUAGAGACCCGGCUCCUGACAGCCUGCAGGUCAGCGAUGCUCUCGAGCUUCCAUCGCAGGAAUUAAAGGAUUACCGAGGAAAGAAUUCGAGGCACCAAUCGCUUCACACCUGAACACAUCACUCCAAUCCACUGGGAUUCAUAUUAAAAAAAAAAAAAAAANNCUCCCUUCUGAAAAACGGUUAAUUGGAUCUGCAGUUAUAUUUCCUGUUGCGCCGAGGAGCCAAGUAGGGCAGCCUGAACUGAAUUCCUCAAGCUGCCAAGGAAAUCGAGCAAAUUUGGGGAGAGGGAAAGUAAAUAAAUAAAUAAGCCAGCAAGCUAUCAGCAUCUUCAAGAAGAGCAGAUUGUCAGGGAAAGGUUAAGAGCGAGAAAGGGACGAAGAAACGAAAGAGAUUCUUCCCUUUCUCGCCGUGUCCCCCUUUUCCCCCCCCGAAAUUUGUGCCUUCUUGAUUAUUUGCAGCUGUUUCGAACCUCCAGGUUUGUCCAUAGGAGAGAGCGAUGCCUCUUCCGCUUCCAGAAGUGAAAAGCCUUUUUUUUUUAAAUACUCCAGGACUUUGCUGCUUGAGAUUUUCCUCUUCUUCCCAGCAAACCUCCCCCCUAAGUCCAGCGAGCCCCGCAAGCCUUUCGCACUUCAGGCCCCUGCGUCUCGCCUUGGGGCCACAGACCCAUUUCCCUCGAUGGACAGUCGCUUGAGACCCCCGCCGGCCAUAACUGCUUUCCCAGCCCUGGAGAGGACCGAGACCUCCUUAGGGGCGUCGCUGGUGUGUGUCACCCCGCCUCUGCCUAUCUGCUCGCCCUCAGACUCCCUUCCACCUGCCCAGGAGCCCCGAACCCCGAAUCCACUCGCCCUACGGUCCGCAGCGGGUCCCGCCACCCGGCGGCUGCCCUUGACCCUGGAUGGGUGGGAAGGAGAGGCAGCCAGCGGGGCUGGGCCGCUGCGGGAACACUAAGGGAGACGGGGGUGCCCAGAGAUUCAUCCCGGAGAA